rnacentral:rRNA from 1 species
GAUGAACGCUGGCGGCGUGCCUAAUACAUGCAAGUCGAGCGAACGGACGCGAAGCUUGCUUCUCUGAUGUUAGCGGCGGACGGGUGUGUAACACGUGGAUAACCUCCCUAUAAGUCUGGGAUCACUUCGGGAAGCCGUAGCUAAUACCGGAUAAUAUUUUGAACCGCAUGGUUCAAAAGUGAAAGACGGUCUUGCUGUCACUUAUAGAUGGAUCCGCGCUGCAUUAGAUAGUUGGUAAGGUAACAGCUUACCAAGGCUACGAGGCAUAGCCGACCUGAUAGGGUGAUCGGCCACACUGGAACUGAGACACGGUCCAUACGCCUACGGGAGGCAGCAGUAGGGAAUCUGCCGCAAUGGGCGAAAGCCUUACGGAGCAACGCGGCGUGAGUGAUGAAGGUCUUCGGAUCGUAAAACUCUGUUAUUAGGGAAGAACAGAUGUCUAAGUAACUGUGGAGAUCUUGACGGUAAUUAAUCAGAAAGCCACGGCUAACUACGUG